UACGUAGGGUGCAAGCGUUAAUCGGAAUUACUGGGCGUAAAGCGUGCGCAGGCGGCUUUGCAAGACAGAUGUGAAAUCCCCGGGCUUAACCUGGGAACUGCAUUUGUGACUGCAUGGCUGGAGUGCGGCAGAGGGGGAUGGAAUUCCGCGUGUAGCAGUGAAAUGCGUAGAUAUGCGGAGGAACACCGAUGGCGAAGGCAAUCCCCUGGGCCUGCACUGACGCUCAUGCGCGAAAGCGUGGGGAGCAAACCGG
rnacentral:rRNA from 1 species